UCCAAUCUUUGUGCUAACCUAAGCUAUGUUUCAGAUGCUGGGAGACACAGCGGUUGAGCUGCACAGGUGAGUUAGACACAUGCAUGUUGCAGACAGUAGACUUUGCUGCUUUGCUCACUUGUGCUUCUGUCUUUCAGAUGCUGUGGGACGGAGCGGUGGAGCUCCACAGGAGGUGACAGGUUGACAGAGACAGACAGUGCGUGGACACAGACAGCAAGAUGGAUGCCCCACUCUUCUUCUUGGUAGAAAUAAAAGAAAAUGCUGACAACCCUA